rnacentral:lncRNA from 10 species
GAAGUCUCAGCCUCGGCCACCCGAUCCCCGCCUCCCCGCGUCGGGCCCCAAGUCAGGGGCUCCGGGUCUCGGGCCCAGCCGCCAGGCGGGCUGCUGCGGGUGGGUGGGGAGCGCCGCCUAGCUGGAGCCGAAGCGGGGCGAGGCGCUAGUUGGGAGCCUGGAGGUUCCCGCCCGGCCACACCCACCUCAGGAUGGGUCACCAUGACGUCACCACUGUGCCAGUCACCCGAGGAGCCAAGAUCCUGAGAAAUUUCAUCUUUCACAAAUGCAGAUGUACAGAAAAGACACUUAUUUAUUUAUCGAGGAAAUUUCUACAUUUUUGCAUAUAUGUAGAAUGCUUACACAGUCA